rnacentral:rRNA from 1 species
GUCCACGCCGUAAACGAUGGGCACUAGGUGUGGGAGGUGUCGACUCCUCCCGUGCCGGCGCUAACGCAUUAAGUGCCCCGCCUGGGGAGUACGGCCGCAAGGCUAAAACUCAAAGGAAUUGACGGGGGCCCGCACAAGCAGCGGAGCAUGUGGUUUAAUUCGACGCAACGCGAAGAACCUUACCUGGGCUUGACAUGUAGGUGACAGCCGUGGAAACACGGUCUUCCUUCGGGACACUUACACAGGUGGUGCAUGGCUGUCGU